CCCUUCUGUGAUGGGAAUUGGUUUAAGCGAUCAGUUUUGAAUUUAAAAAACAUUUAAGAAAUUUUACAUCUUGUGCUCUUUCCGCACUGGACCAUAAUUUGAUCUCUAGAAAUGUAAUCUAGUUUGCCCUUUUCGGAAAUUUCUUUAUUCUUAUGUAGAUAAUUUGACUUUCAGAAAAAAAAAUUUCUCACCUGGUAAUUUUUCACUGCUUACUUGAAAUGGCCGUUUCCCCAUUUUCCCCCUACAAGCACCAACGAAGUUUAACAAAGUGUUACUUCUUAGGAAGGUAUUGUUGGCCAAGCACAUCCUGAGGUGUACAUAUUAGCAUGAAAACUGUGUUCGUGGAGUAUGAUGUAGCAUGCUCAGCCUCCAACUCUAUUGCCUUUUUCUUAAUACCCUAGAAGAAGCAUAGUUCUCUAAAUGUAAGUUAGUUUUUGGAAGAAAGUUAUUUCCCACGUUUGAAUUUGGGAUAUUCCAGUUAAACUUGUCUGAAUGCCAGUAGCCGGAAGAAUGGAAUCUUAUAUGGUAAUUACAUCCCAGUUGAGCGAGGUAGCUUUCUUGAUAUUCAGCUGUUACAGACUUCUCAGAGUGUUAGGACAAUCUCUCUUAAACAUUUAGGAUAAACGUUUGUUCUCACAGGACAAACGUUGAGGUACCGAAUUAAAAGAUCUUACAUUUGCCUUGAUGCUUGCUUACAAUCAGGAGUCCCAUCUGAAAUACUUAAGUCUUGGAACUUCCUCUGUUCUCUCCAGCCAUGUGAGAAAGUAGGUAGAAGUAAAGCCUACUCCAUGAAGUGGGUACUGCGGGGGAAAAGGUCAUUCCUAAUUUGUAGGGCAAUCUAGAAUAUGUCGUAUCUCCUAAUCAUUACUGAUAAAUAUUUGUCACUCAACUAACUUUUUGAGGAUCACUUUUAUGUAUUCUGUAUUAAUAAAUUUUGAAAGUUUAGAUUCCUCUUAGAACUUAUCUUCUCUCAGGAAGGUUGAGGAAAAGCUUGCUUUGUGAAGAGAGUAUGCGUGGGGGAUAUUUUUCUACAUCUAACAUUUAAUAUCUUAAAAAUAUUCUAUAGACCAAUAAUAAAUAUAAGUGGAUAGUAACUGUAAUUUAAAUAAUUUGUUAUUCUAAAAAUUAACCUUUUAACAAGAACACAAUUACUGGUAGAAUUGACUAUUGCUAAUUUUGUUUUAUUUUGUUGCCACUGUUUUUAAAAUAAGAUCUUUGCCAUGUAUAAAUAUGUCUAAAUAAAGUAUAUAUUGUAGUUAACAAAAAUUAAUAUCAUCAAAGGAAUGAGUAGAGUAGAAAAUGAACAGCUUUUAAAAACCAAUUAUAUAAUUUCAUAUUCUAUAUUAUGCAGAGUUAUCAAAUAUGUUUUUCAAAAAUUGUUUCUUUGUGCAGAAAGACAUCUUGUUUUUUAAACAAACUUUCUAAAUCCUAUAAGUUGACCUUUCCUAUUCCAACAAUCCAAAUCAACUAGUAGAUAUUCUCAGUAACCUGAGAUUUUUCAAAGUAUGCACUAACAGCAAAGAAACUGGAUUAUUGCAUUAUAACUAUGGUCAUGUGUCACUUAACAGUGGGGAUAUGUUCUGAGAAAUGUGUUGUUAGGCAGUUUUGUAGUUGUGUGAACAUCAAAGAGUGUACUCUCACAAACCUAGAUGGUCUGGCUUACUACACACUUAGGCUGUAUGGCACUAAUCUUGUAGGACCACAGUCACAUGGGCAGUGUGUCACUCAUCAAAACAUCUUUAUGCAGCGUAUACUGUAUUUCAUGCAUAAAACUGCCUCCAUCUAAAAUGCUGCUGCAAAUACCUGGGAGGUUACAUGACAUUCUUAGAGAUAAUGCGCAAUCUUAUAUAUUGACUUUUGAACUGUGUAUCUGACAAAUGCAAGAAGUGCAGUGUUGAUGUUAAUCUACUCCUGUUAGCUUGUAAAUAUUUGCUGUAUUUUAUUGAGAAACAUUUGGAUUGAGUUCUGUCACUUACUAGGAUUUUCUUCAGUGCCCAGAUAUCUUUAAUUUAUGCAAUUUGUAGAAUGCCCAAGGCUUUCAUUUCUAAAUUGCAACAGAACACUUUACAGUUACUGCACUUUAAGUUAAGCUUUCAAAUUCUCAUGGGCAGCUCUUGUUAUUUAUGCUUCUAGAGUUCACUCUAGAAAAAAUUAAAGAACCCAAAAGCCUUUCGUUUUAAAAGAGAAAUCCAAAAAAUUCAGGCUAAAACAAUUGACACAGAAGUAACAAAUCAAGUGGUAUCUCUGACCUCCAUCCUCCAAGAGUUUGAUCCACAAUUGGGAUUUUCUCCCUACAGAGUCAUUACAUAGCACCCAUGCAUUAUUUUUGUGAUGAUUGCACUAAAAAUGUUCAGAUGAAUCUUUCAGGUUGUACCCCUCUCAAAGAAAAACAGUGCAUUGAUCAAAGAUAAAGACUUUCAGACAUGAGGUAGAAAUUUGUUUUCAGCAUGUUUUUUAAAAGGCUUUUUUUUCCCCCCUAAGUGGACAAGUGCCUAUUCUUGUCUUUUAAAAAGUUUUGAGAAGACGUGUUGGAGUAAAGAUAAUAUUGAUAUGCUUGAUACAUAAUUUCCCUGGAUGUCUAAUGUAUUAUAUUUUCUAAAAACGUAUGUUUUGUCAAUCAGAUCACUGUUGAAAGAAGUAACUCUGAAAGGGAUGAGGAGUGGCUGUAAAUAUUUUUAAUUCCUUUGUAUGGUUUCGUUUGAGAGAAUUGUAAGGAUUUCAACAUUUUUGUAUUUAGAAACAUCAAAUAAAUGUUGGGGUGUGUGUGUGUGGAAGAGCAGGAACAGGCAACUUUUAAAGUAACAGCAACAUUAGAGGGCCCUUCCAGGACAUGGUUUAAAGGUCUGUGAAAUUAGAGCUGCUCCUCUCACUUCCCUUUAAGUGGAGUCCAAUUUUAAGAAAGAGCGAUUCCUGCAUCAAUAGUUGUUAAUUGGGAAAAGGGAGAUGAAAAUGCUCCUUUAGAGCCUACAGUACUAACAGCUGGCCAGUUUUCUUUUUCAUGGUUCCUUUUGUGGAAGCACCAAGCAAAACAGGAAAUAUUUUUAGUGUCAUUCUAGUAUUGUAAUCAUCUUUCUGAAUGACUGUUGGCCUGUUAGACUAUGAACUCUGAGGACUAGGACACAGCCUGAGUCCUGUCCAUAUCCUCAGAGCCUAGAACUGUGGCUAAAAUUUGGAGACAUUUAUCAUUGAUCCACAGGUUAGAAAUGUCUACUAUUAGUGUAUUCUUGAUUUCUUAGCUUUAUAUUUUAGCUGGAACAAUCUGUUGUUCUCACAGCUCUCAUCUGGCCUCACAGUGGAACUGCAUUGGAUAAUCACUGAAAGUUUUUCCAAUACAAAGUGGUUGAUGAAGCAUAGUAAAUGGUCAAUAAAUAUUUGUUGACCAGAAGAAUUGAUGAUCCAAUAAAACUAUUAAUGAGAUAUUUUUUUUUAGGUGAAUGGCAUAGAUGUUGUUCAGAUUUACUUUGAAAGAAUCAAGUAUGUGAACCCAAUGAUGAAUGGAAUUGUGAACCACAGAGAUGGUAUCAGCAGAAUCCAGACAGUGGGAAACUACAGGACAAAUGACCCAGUUUCUUCAGUAAAUGAAUUACCAGGAUGAAAGAAAGAAAUGGAGGAUGAUCCUAUAGAUUAAAGGAGACUUAAGAGACAUAUAACCAAUUGUAAUAUAUGGAUCUUUUUUGGAUCCUAAUUUGACCAAACUGUAAAUUUGUGAGACAAUCCAGAUAAUUUGAAAAUUGACUUGAUAUUUGAUAUUAGUUGGGAUAAUGGUAUUGUGGUUAUGUUGAAAACAAGAGUCCUUAUCUUUUGGAGAUUCAUUCUCAAAUAUUUAUGGUUGAAAUGAUGACUGGCGUUUGCUUCAAAAUAGUAAGUCUGGAUGUUAAGUGCAUUGGAGAUGUUGAAACAAGACUGGCCUUGACUUGAUAAUUGUUGAAGCUGGGUGAUGGUUAAAUGAUG
ensembl:lncRNA